CACCGCCGCGGUAAUACGAAGGGUGCAAGCGUUACUCGGAAUUACUGGGCGUAAAGCGUGCGUAGGUGGUGGUUUAAGUCCGUUGUGAAAGCCCUGGGCUCAACCUGGGAAUUGCAGUGGAUACUGGGUCACUAGAGUGUGGUAGAGGAUAGUGGAAUUUCCGGUGUAGCAGUGAAAUGCGUAGAGAUCGGAAGGAACAUCUGUGGCGAAGGCGACUAUCUGGGCCAACACUGACACUGAGGCACGAAAGCGUGGGGAGCGAACAGGAUUAGAUACCCCUGUAGUCCCUGUCUCUUAUACA
rnacentral:rRNA from 1 species